UGCCACCGCACCGACAUCGCCAGUAGUUUGUAAAAUUUCCUUAUUUUUAUUUUUCACGCAGUCGGUCGAAGUUGAGAAUAGUUGAUCCGAAAGUUUUUUAUAUAAGGCUGAAUAUAAGGUUGGAACUUCUCAACUAUCUUUUCAAAAUCAGCAGAUCAGCAGCACCUCCUCGUAAUCGGCGAAUGACGAAUAAUCGCAGACAGCAGGACCGGAAGCUAGUUCCAGAACCAUAGGCGGAGAACUUCUGCUGAAAGCUGCGAAUCUCUGACCACUUAGAAUAUUCUUGAGAGGUACCAAUGAAAUCGAUAAAUCCUCCAGCAACCGUCUAACAACUCCAACGGGAAUGUUCGCUCCAAUCUGCAGGUUUCUCAUCCUGUUCCCGAUAAAUAACCAUAUUUGGAAGUGGCUGGAUAACGAGGAGAAAAACAAUUAACUGGAAAAGGUAAAGGAAAUUUAAACGGAACGUGAAUUCCUAGCUGCUUUUGGAUGCUGCUACUAAAAUAACAUCCGGAUUUCAGAUUUUUCGAAUUGGAUGGAUCUAUUUGCGGUCAGUCGCAAAUCGGAUCAUUCAGCAUUCAGCAUAUCUGCGUCCGGGGGAGUUACCAUCCGCCAGCUGUCAUCAGUUCCAUAAUAGCAUGCCGUUCCGCACAGCUUACUCCACCACACCACACUGACCCGUAGCUGCUGCUGAAGGAUGUUCCGGUUCGUUCGGGAUUCCAGAAUGGCAGAACUUCCACACCAGUUUUUAGUGCUUACUCCCUCACUUUCGUGCCAGUGCUGCUGUCGAGGCUGCUGCUGAAGGAUGUUCCGGUUCGUUCGGGAUUGCUGCCAUCAGCCACUGUUGUUGGUAAUGCAACCAGCAACACGAAAGUUGAAGAAUAAAAUGGAUUCAUACUAUUUUAUGAAAAACACGGUAGUUAGAAUAAUAAAAUAAUUUGCAUGUAUAUAACCAAUCAAAUAUUUUACUUAUAUUUAUAAGAAUAAUUUUUAUCCAAUAAUAUUUUCAAAACAAGAACAGGAAAAUAUCACCCAUAUUUAGGUGAAUUUCACCUAUAACAGAAUACUCAUAAAUAGGUAAACAUUACCAAUAUUCCCAUGCGCCACUUGUACUCAAAUAUGGGUAAAUGGUACUUCACCCAUAAAUAGGUAUGUGCACUUUUUCGAGAUUAUAGGUACUGUUCACCCAUA